GCCGGGCGUGGUGGCGGGCGCCUGUAGUCCCAGCUACUCGGAGGCUGAGGCGGGAGAAUGGCGUGAGCCUGGGAGGUGGAGCUUGCAGUGAGCCGAGAUCGCGCCACUGCACUCCAGCCUGGGCGACAGAGCGAGACUCCGUCUCAA
ensembl:misc_RNA Metazoa_SRP Metazoan signal recognition particle RNA